rnacentral:lncRNA from 1 species
UUUUUUUUUUUUUUUUUUUGAAAAGGCCAAAUAUAUUAAUAAGACACAAGCUCAAAACACAAGGUGUUUCAAUAUUCAAAUUACAGAAGCAAGAUUAAGCAACAAUAAAAUGAAAUGUUUAAAUUGCACACAAUUAAUUCACCACAUCAAUAACAUAGAAAGUCGAUUUCCACCUCCACAUAGAAAAUAAAUACUUAUCAACUAUUCCACACAAUACCAUUACUAUCUUCACGGAUAUGGCUUCUCAAAAAAAUUUGCAGCAGCCAAAAUUCAUCUGCUGUGACAAAGCCUACUGUUACAAUACAAGUGUUAUGGCGAUUAGUUUACAUAUAUUAACCAAAUGGCAUGCCUUCAGAGAGUAGCCAAAAGCAGUGGCAACAAUUAAGUAUUCUUUAAAAUUUCUCCUUAAUUCUCCAAAACCGAAUUGCCAUACUGACAACAACAAAAAUACAGCAGCCCAUCAUCCCCACCAAAAUAACACCAAAGACUAGUGCUAUCUCCACUCCUUGCCAAGUUACCACGGACAACAGAAAUUUGAAUCCAAAAAUCAACGCAUGUGACUCUGUUAACAUGUUUUCACAGCAUAAUACCAGCAUCUCAUAAUUUUCAAAUUUAAAAUCAUCAAGACUGAAAUAUCAAAUUUCACAUCUAAUAUCAUUGAAACACAAUACUACCAUCUUAAUUUAUCAAAUUAGGAUGACAAGGCUCAAAUAUUAAAUUUGCAUCUAAGGCUUAUCGAGGCACAACACCAAUAUCUCAAUUCAUGGAAUUUGGAAUCAUCCAGGCUCAAAUACUUAAUGUCACAUCAAAUAUCAUCAAGGCACAUUAUCAUCAUUCCAAUAUACCGGAGUUAUGAUUAUUUAGACUCAAAUAUCAAUUUUCACUUUCAAGGUUCUAGUCUCAAUUAUCGAAUUUUGAUUAUAAGGUCAUUGAGGUUCAAUUCCACCAUCCUAACUUAUCGAAUUCCACCAUGUAGGCUCAAAUACUAAAUUCACAUCUAGGGUCAUCGAAUCACAACACCGUCAUCAAACUUUAUCAAAUUUAGGACCCCUCCUCUAAGCUCAAAUAUCAAAUUUGACAUUCGAAGUCAUCUAGGGACAAUACUUUCACCCCAAAUUAUAGAACUUGGAUCAUUUAAGCUCAAAUGUCAUUUUUCCCUUUCAACAUCAAGCCACAAUAUCACCAUCCCAAAUUAUCGAAUUUAUGAUCAUUAGGAGGCUCAAAUAUCAAGUUUUGCAUUCAUAGUCAUCGAGGCAACCAUCAUCUUAAUUUAUUAAUUUAGUAUCAUUUAGGUUCAAAUAUCAAAUUUAUAUUUAAGGUCAUCAAGUCACAAUAUCAGCAACCCAAUUUAUUGAAUUUGGGAUCAUCUAAGCUCAAAUAUUAAAUUUCUUAUUCAAUGUCAUUGAGACAUACUGAAUUUCUUAUCCAAUGUCAUCAAGACAUACCGAAUUUCUUAUUCAACGUCGUCGAGACAUAAUACCAUCCUCCCAAUUUAUUGAAUUAAGAACCAUUUAGACUCAAAUACCAAUUUUUACCAUCAUUCCAAUAAUUAUGAUCACAUAGGAUCAAAUAUCAAGUUUAGCAUCUAUGGCCAUCGAGGCAACAAGCGUCCCAAUUGUCAUAUUUAAGAUCAUCUAAGAUCAAAUAAUCGAAUUCAUUUAAGGGUCAAUCUGACAUGCAUUUCAAGUUAUGAAUAAAUAUUCAUAUUGAAGUUGCAAUUAGGGCAUCAACAUAGCAUCUUGAUUUCAUAUGAAUAUAAAAUCCUUAUUGCAAACAUAUUUUGAGUAAAUAAUUCAUCCUCGUCAUUAAAUUUAGGGUCAUCCAGACAUAGCAUCGCAAGUUAUCUUAAUGAUUCAUAUUGCAACUAUUCAUUUUUAUCAACCUUUUCAGGCAUGAAUAAAAUAAUGAAUCAUCAAGAUUAUACAAUCUUGGAUAAUCAAGAAUAAUAUGAUAAUAUUGCAAACAAAAAACCUACCCCAAAACUUUUUGUGCCAAACACAAUUUUGGAGACAUGGUAUGUUUGCUAACCGAAAGGCAAAAAUCGAUUGACCAGAAAUCCAAACGAUUUGAAAAUAGAAAGAGAGAUGUAGCAUUGAUUAAAGAAUUCAAAUUCCGACAAGCUAUUAAGCUAAAUUUGAUAGGACUGCAGAUUCAUUGAAAGUCCAGUCAAGAAGCUACAUCUAUAUGUUUCUAAUCAAAACAACCGGGGACAGCAGAAACAGGAAUCCAUAUUUUAUCAGCAACAAUUCCAAUCAAAUUUAUAGGGUUCCAAUAAUCAAGAUUCGUCAGAAAGCUAUUAGUUUCAUUUAAAGAAUCACAUAGUACUGUGGCAAACAAACAAGAAUAACAAAGUAGCCAAAAUUUGCAGCAGCCAAAAUUCGUCUGCUGUGACAAAGCCUACUGUUACAAGUGAUAUGGCUAUUAGUUUACAUAUAUUAACCAAAUUGCAUGCCUUCAGAGAGUAACCAAAAGCAGUAGCAACAAUUAAGUAUUCCUUAAAAUUUCUCUUAAUUCUCCAAAACCGAAUUGCCAUACUGACAACAACAAAAAUACAGCAGCCCACCACCACCAACAAAAUGACACCAAAGACUAGUGCUAUCUCCACUCCUUGCCAAGCUACCACGGACAACAGAAAUUUGAAUCCAAAAAUCAACGCUUCUGACUCUGUUAUCAUGUUUUCACAGCAUAAUACCAGCAUCUCAUAAUUUUCAAAUAUCAAAAUUCACGUCUAAUAUCAUUAAAACACAAUACUACCAUCUUAAUUUAUCAAAUUAGGAUGAUCUAGGCUCAAAUAUUGAAUCUGCAUCUAAGACUUAUCGAGGCACAAUACCUACAUCCCAACUCAUGGAAUUUCAAAUCAACUUUUGCAUCUAAGACUCAUCUAGGCUCAAAUACUAAAUGUCAAUCCAAUUAUCAUCGAGGCACAUUAUCAUUUUGUCCCAAUAUACCAAAGUUAUGAUUAUUUGGGAUCAAAUAUCAAUUUUCACUUUCAAGGUUCUAGUCUCAAUUAUCGAAUUUUGAAUCUAAGGUCAUCGAGGUUCAAUUCCACCAUCCUAAUUUAUCGAAUUUACGACCAUGUAGGCUCAAAUACUAAAUUCAAUCCAAGAUCAUCGAAUCAUAACACCGUCAUCAAACUUUAUCAAAUUUAGGAAUCCUCUAAGCUCAAACAUCAAAUUUGACGUUCAAAGUCAUCUAAGGACAAUAAUUUCACCCCAAAUUAUAGAACUUAGAUCAUUUAGGCUCAAAUAUCAUUUUUCCCUUUCAACAUCAAGCCACAAUAUCACCGUCCCAAAUUAUCGAAUUUAUGAUCAUUAGGAGGCUCAAAUAUCAAGUUUUGCAUUCAUAGUCAUCGAGGCAACCAUCAUCUUAAUUUAUCAAUUUAGUAUCAUCUAUGAUCAAAUAUCAAAUUUGUAUCUAAGGUCAUCGAGUAACAAUACCAUCAUCCCAAUUUAUUGAAUUUGGGGUCAUCUAAGCUCAAAUACUGAAUUUCUUAUCCAAUGUCAUCGAGAUAUGCUGAAUUUCUUAUCCAAUGUCAUCAAGACAUACCAAAUUUCUUAUCCAAUGUUAUCAAGACAUACUGAAUUUCUUAUCAAACGUCAUCGAGACAUAAUACCAUUCUCCCAAUUUAUUGAAUUAAGAACCAUUUAGGCUCAAAUACCAAUUUUUGCUUUCAAGCCCAAAAGACACAUUAUCAUCAUCCCAAUUUAUCAAAUUAUGAUCACAUAGGAUCAAAUAUGAAGUUUAGCAUCUAUGGUCAUCGAGGCGACAAGCAUCCCAAUAAAUCAUAUUUAAGAUCAUAUAAGUUCAAAUAUGGAAUUCCAUUAAGGGUCAAUGUAACAUGCCAUCGAGGCGACAAGCAUCCCAAUUAUCAUAUUUAAGAUCAUAUAAGUUCAAAUAUGGAAUUCCAUUAAGGGUCAAAGUGACAUGGCAUCGAGGCGACAAGCAUCCCAAUUAUCAUAUUUAAGAUCAUAUAAGUUCAAAUAUGGAAUUCCAUUAAGGGUCAAAGUGACAUGGCAUCGAGGCGACAAGCAUCCCAAUUAUCAUAUUUAAGAUCAAAUAAGUUCAAAUAUGGAAUUCCAUUAAGGGUCAAAGUGACAUGGCAUCGAGGCAACAAGCAUCCCAAUUAUCAUAUUUAAGAUGAUAUAAGUUCAAAUAUGGAAUUCCAUUAAGGGUCAAAGUAACAUGGCAUCGAGGCGACAAGCAUCCCAAUUAUCAUAUUUAAGAUCAAAUAAGUUCAAAUAUGGAAUUCCAUUAAGGGUCAAAAUAACAUGGCAUCGAGGCGACAAGCAUCCCAAUUAUCAUAUUUAAGAUCAUAUAAGUUCAAAUAUGGAAUUCCAUUAAGGGUCAAAGUGAAAUGGCAUCGAGGCAACAAGCAUCCCAAUUAUCAUAUUUAAGAUCAUAUAACUUCAAAUAUGGAAUUCCAUUAAGGAUCAAAGUGACAUGGCAUCGCUUAUUUAAUAUCAAAUAAGUUCAAAUAUGGAAUUCCAUUAAGGGUCAUUGUGACAUGCAUUUCAAGUUAUGAAUAAAUAUUCAUAUUGAAGUUGCAUUUAGGCCAUCAACAUACCAUCCUAAUUUCAUAUGAAUAAAAGAUCCAUAUUGCAAGCAUAUUUUGAGUAAAUAAUUCAUCCCCGUCAUUAAAUUUAGGGUCAUCGAGACAUAGCAUCGUAAGUUAUCUUAAUGAUUCAUAUUACAACUAUUUAUUUUUUUCAACCUUUUCAGGCAUGAAUAACAAUGAAUCAUCAAGAUUAUACAAUCUUGAAUAAUCAAGAAUAAUAUGAUAAUGUUGCAAACAAAAACCCUACCCCAAAACUUUUAGUGCCAAACACAGUUUUGGAGACAAGGUAUGUUUGCUAACCGAAAGGCAAAAAUCGAUUGACCAGAAAUCCAAACAAUAACCCAUUGAAAAUAGAAACAGAGAUGUAGCAUUGAUUAAAGAAUUCAAAUUCCAACAAGCUGCGAAGCUAAACUUGAUAGGACAGCAGAUUCAUUGAAAGUCCAGUCAAGAAGCUACAUCUCUCUGUUUCUAAUCGAAACAACCAGGGACAGCAGAAACAUGAAUUCAUAUAUCAACGCUUGUGACUCUUUGGUCAUAUUUUAGGGGCAACAAUUCCAAUCAAAUUUAUAGGGUUCCAAUAAUCAAGAUUCGUGAGAAAGUUAUUAGUUCCAUUUAAAGAAUCACAGAGUACUGUGGCAAACAAACACGAAUCUUGAUAAAGGACCGAAAAUGGAGAGAGAUGUUAAAUUUGAGAGGAGUGCAGAUUUAUUCGAAGGUCCAAUAAAGAAACUUGGAUACAAAGUUGUGAAGAUUGAAAUCGAGAAAAAGAGAGAUGAAAGUGUACCAAAGCGAGAGAUAGAGUUGAGAGGAUUGUAGUUUCAUCAAGAAACUAAUUCUUUCUUCUUCUUUUUUUCAUAACGCAACUCUCUUUAUCUCCCGCGGGUUCUCGUUCCCGUUAACAAAUAAAACCCUAAUGUG